rnacentral:rRNA from 1 species
AACGAACGCUGGCGGCAUGCCUAACACAUGCAAGUCGAACGAAGUGGCGCACGGGUGCGUAACGCGUGGGAAUCUGCCCUUGGUUCGGAAUAACAGCGAGAAAUUGCUGCUAAUACCGGAUGCCUGAGGAUGAGCCCGCGUUUGAUUAGGUAUUUGGUGGGGUAAAGGCCUACCAAGCCGACGAUCCAUAGCUGGUCUGAGAGGAUGAUCAGCCACACUGGGACUGAGACACGGCCCAGACUCCUACGGGAGGCAGCAGGGGGGAAUAUUGGGAAAUGGGCGAAAGCCUGAAACAGCAAGGCCGGGAAAGUGAUGAAGGCCUUAGGGUAGUAAAGCUCUGUUACCCGGGAGACAGUACCGGGAGAAGAAGCUCCGGCUAACUCCGUGCCAGCAGCCGCGGUAAUAC